AGCCACUACCCUCCCUUACGCAGUCGCACCAUAAACCUCCUCACUUUCCCCCACAGCCCUCUGGGCUUCGACCCAUCAACUGAACACGCGCCAAACCUAGCGCACACGCCCCAAACCUAGCGCACACGCCCCAAGUUCGGCCCAAUAAGAGUCCCAAACCGCGGGGGUGGACGCCACGGGGAUAAAUUAACCGCAGCGUGGGGCGGAGACUUUUAAGGGUGGAGCCUGGCCCUGGAGCAACGUCUAGUGAGCUGUUCUGUGAACAUGGGUAGGUUCGGGCGUAGAGCUGGCAGCGGCGAGGUGUGAGCCUGCGCUGGGCGCCGAAAUAGGGCGUGUCAGUUGUUUGGUGCAGGUGUAGCAGGGAACCAGAGCAUCUCUCGCCGCCGGAGUGCGUCUUGCCGAAGCCUGUGGUUGCACGCCCACCCUCUUAGGGGCUCUGCUCUGCGGUAGGUGUGUGCGGCGUUGCACUUGGGGUUGAUUUUCUCUGCGUGGCCGGAGCGGGGCUGGACCCUUCCCACUCCCCUGCCCUGCCCCAUCCCCUCCCCGCACCCGGACCAGCCCCGGGGACGCCCUCAGACGCCCACCGUCUCCAACCCUGGGGAAGCCCCAGGGUGGCAGCGAAGGCCUCUUUCCUUUCCGCCCCUUCUCUUGGUGCCAUCGCCCACGUGCUUUGAUGUUGUUUGGUGCAGACCAUGUCCAAGUCUCUGGAGAAGUUGGUGGAGGAAAGCCGGUAGGAGAACCAGCCCGAAGUGGACAUGAGUGACCGGGGCAUCGCCAAUAUGCUACAAGUCAAUGCUGUAUAAGAUGCCCACAUCAGAGUCAGCACAAAAAGAAGAUACAACAUCACCUUCAGUUUCUGAGAUGAGGAGUAUGCCAUACGAAAGUCUAGGAGGAAGACAUUCUGAACAGAGACAACAGUGGACCAUAUUUGUUCAUCAUUUUGUUCUUAACAACCUAGAAUGA
rnacentral:lncRNA from 1 species